rnacentral:rRNA from 1 species
AUACGGAGGGUGCAAGCGUUAUCCGGAUUUAUUGGGUUUAAAGGGUCCGCAGGCUGAUUAAUAAGUCAGGGGUGAAAUCCGGCAGCUUAACUGUCGAACUGCCUUUGAAACUGUUAGUCUUGAGUAAGAAUGAAGCAGCUGGAAUGUGUGGUGUAGCGGUGAAAUGCAUAGAUAUCACACAGAACACCGAUAGCGAAGGCAGGUUGCUAAUUCUUUACUGACGCUGAGGGACGAGAGCGGGGGGAGCAAACAGGAUUAGAUACCCUGGUAGUCCACGCCGUAAACGAUGGAUACUGUCUGUUGGAUUUUCGGAUUCAGUGGAUAAGCGAAAGUGAUAAGUAUCCCACCUGGGGAGUACGUUCGCAAGAAUGAA